rnacentral:rRNA from 1 species
UACGUAGGAUCCAAGCGUUGUCCGGAUUUACUGGGCGUAAAGGGUGCGCAGGCGGACUUGUUAGUCAGAGGUGAAAUCUCACGGCUCAACCGUGAAACUGCCUUUGAUACUGCAGGUCUUGAAUUGGGGAGAGAGUUGUGGAAUUCCGAGUGUAGCAGUGAAAUGUGUAGAUAUUCGGAAGAACACCAGUGGCGAAGGCAGCAACUUGGCCCCACAUUGACACUCAGGCACGAAAGCAUGGGGAUCAAACAGG